GAAUAUAUUGUGCACAACCCAAGCGUAUGAGAUAUAUGAACAAUAUCACCUGAUACGAAUCAAAUCUUUGAACCCAACUCACGAACAAUCCGUCGAACACCUUUGUAGCCCAACCCUGAUUAACAUCGCUCAGAUCCAAAGCUACGGGCCAAGAACACCGUGAAUCGAAAUCGGUCCGUCAAGAAACAGAUUCGAGUACCACACUUUUUCUCUCAGACUUUUCUUCGAACACCUUGUGAACAUGACUUAAGGUACUUACUUGACGACUUUCUUAGCAAGAUUAUCGUAGAAGACGAGCGGUUUCUCGGUGUUGGAGACCUAAAUUCUGAGGAACACUCCAAGAUCGUCGAG
rnacentral:lncRNA from 1 species